rnacentral:rRNA from 1 species
UCUGGCUCAGGAUGAACGCUAGCGGCAGGCUUAACACAUGCAAGUCGAGGGGCAUCGGGAGUAGCAAUACUGCCGGCGACCGGCGCAAGGGUGCGUAACGCGUGAGCAACAUGCCCGUAUCAGGGGGGAUAAUCCAUGGAAACGUGGUCUAAUACCCCAUAGUAAUUAUGUAAGGCAUCUUAUAUAAUUUAAAGCUUUGGUGGAUACGGAUUGGCUCGCGUGACAUUAGCUGGAUGGUAAGGUAACGGCUUACCAUGGCUACGAUGUCUAGGGGUUCUGAGAGGAAGGUCCCCCACACUGGAACUGAGACACGGUCCAGACUCCUACGGGAGGCAGCAGUGAGGAAUAUUGGACAAUGGAUGGAAAUCUGAUCCAGCCAUGCCGCGUGCAAGGAAGACGGCCCUAUGGGUUGUAAACUGCUUUUGUAUGGGAGCAAUAAGGGCUACGUGUAGUCCGAUGAGAGUACCAUACGAAUAAGCACCGGCUAACUCCGUGCCAGCCGCCGC